GAGCACAGCUCACUGUCAGGCAAUCUGGCAAGGAGGGGGUGGGGGGAGUUAGAGAGGCAGGCCUUUCAAAGCUCAGCUCACUUGAUAUUAGGAAGGAUGUUUCAUUUACCUGGAGUUGAGUCAUUUUCCAAACUCGGAGCUAAUCUGAAUUAAUGCACCCUGGCCAAUGUAACCUUGAAGUGAAAUCUAUUUGUCACACUGUGAAGGCCACACUGGCUUGGAACCUGUGCCCUCCUCACACACCCCUGCCAGUGCUGAACAUGGGUCCUGUCAUCUACACCAUUCAAGAGGACAAAUGCCUAAGACAAACUUUUUGCUUGGUGAUAAAACUCCUGCACAGUUUUAUCUAAUCUCACCAUCAGGAGGCUAACACAGCACCAACGAGGCUCUCCAGAUUCUGCGCAUCUCAAGAAAGAGUUUGACGCAGUGAAGAAGGCUCAAAGGUGUGUGUCACAGAGGGAAGCCAAAGGACAUGUGCUCUACUGCAAAAGAAAGCUGGCACAAGCCAAGGUCUAGAAAUUCACCAACUCCGUAUUCCCAAACAGUGACGAGAGGUUGAGAUGCUUCAGAGUAUCCCUGGGUAGCUCCGAAACUCCAUUGCAAAUGACAGAGCAUUUGCAAAAGGUACGUGGCCCAAACCUACUAAAACCUACAGCAGAAUCUUCUUCCAUCUAACCCUUUCCCUCUACUCUCCCCCUGCAAUUUCUUCUGAAAAUGUGCUGUUAGUUUUCUCAUUGCAUUCUCUUAAUUCCAACAAUUCUCACUUUUGUUUCCAUCCAUCCAUCCAUUCCUCCAUUCAUUCAUUCAUCCAUCUAUUCAUUCAUUCAUUCAAGAAGUGUUUAUUUGCCAAGUCCUGUUCUAAGUGCUGGAGAAAAGGAUCUGUUUCCUCAGGAAUCCACUGCUCUGGUAAAGAGUGGUGGGGGGGAGAAAUAGAAAACA
rnacentral:lncRNA from 1 species